rnacentral:tRNA from 3 species
GGAGGUCUGUCCGAGCGGCCGAUGGAGCUGGUCUUGAAAACCAGUGGACAGCAAUGUCUCGUGGGUUCGAAUCCCACGGCCUCCGCCA